GCAGUGGGGGCGUGCUUACCUGCAAGUCGAGCGCUGAAGCCUUCGGGUGGAUGAGCGGCGAACGGGUGAGAAACACGUGGGUGACCUGCCCUCAGCUCUGGGAUAAGCCUGGGAAACUGGGUCUAAUACCGGAUAUGACUUCCUGCCGCAUGGUGGGUUGUGGAAAGUUUUUCGGCUGAGGAUGGGCCCGCGGCCUAUCAGCUUGUUGGUGGGGUGAUGGCCUACCAAGGCGACGACGGGUAGCCGGCCUGAGAGGGCGACCGGCCACACUGGGACUGAGACACGGCCCAGACUCCUACGGGAGGCAGCAGUGGGGAAUAUUGCGCAAUGGGCGAAAGCCUGACGCAGCGACGCCGCGUGGGGGAUGACGGCCUUCGGGUUGUAAACCUCUUUCGCCAGGGACGAAGCUAACGUGACGGUACCUGGAUAAGAAGCACCGGCCAACUACGUGCCAGCAGCCGCGGUAAUACGUAGGGUGCGAGCGUUGUCCGGAAUUAUUGGGCGUAAAGAGCUCGUAGGCGGUGUGUCACGUCGGUCGUGAAAACCUGGGGCUUAACUCUGGGCUUGCGGUCGAUACGGGCAUCACUUGAGUUCGGCAGGGGAGACUGGAAUUCCUGGUGUAGCGGUGAAAUGCGUAGAA
rnacentral:rRNA from 1 species